CCUACGGGUGGCUGCAGUGGGGAAUCUUCCACAAUGGGCGCAAGCCUGAUGGAGCAACGCCGCGUGAGUGAAGACGGUCUUCGGAUUGUAAAGCUCUGUCCUUAGGGAAGAACCGUGGGUAUAGCAAAUGAUACCCAUCUGACGGUACCUUUGGAGGAAGCACUGGCUAACUACGUGCCAGCAGCCGCGGUAAUACGUAGAGUGCAAGCGUUGUCCGGAAUUAUUGGGCGUAAAGGGUACGCAGGCGGAUAAUCAAGUCAAGCGUGAAAGGUGUCGGCUUAACCGACAGACUGCGUUUGAAACUGGUUAUCUUGAGUGUAACAGAGGAGAGUGGAAUUCCUAGUGUAGUGGUGAAAUACGUAGAUAUUAGGAAGAACACCAGUGGCGAAGGCGACUCUCUGGGUUAACACUGACGCUGAGGUACGAGAGCUGGGGGAGCGAACGGGAUUAGAUACCCUAGUAGUC
rnacentral:rRNA from 1 species